GUAAAGUGUUUUAUGAAAAUAAAAUUUUAUUACGGAAAAAAAAUCUAUUAUAGCAUUUUCGAGGUAAAUUUAGACACUUUUACCAUUCAUACACAUAGUUUUUUCUUACGGCGAUUUUGUUUAUGGCCUCGGCAAGUAUAACAAGUGCCAAAAAUUGGGGUAGCUCUACGACUUCCAUCUAGUACUUUUGGAUUAUAUGCUGCCCUAAGACCAUUUCCACUUCAGCUUGAAGAUAACAGUGUCGCUUAACCAUCCAUUUACUAGAACUAGAUUCAAUUGCAUGCACUUAUAGUUGUUUUGCAAGAUCUUUUACUAACUUUCUCUUUUGGUCUUUUUUCCUUAGCCCUGGGUUGUUUUCCCUGUAGAUGAUAUACGACGCUAAAGCAGUGACACCGAUUAUGUUAUAGAAAAAUGCCAAAGGUCAGUGCAUUCUUCUUCGUUUUACAGUGUACUCGCCCAGCAUUUUGUCCAAUGUGUCUACACCGCCUUUAGUUUUGUUAUAAUAUAUGAUAAUCUCUGGUUUGUUGGAUUGUAUGGCAUCAACUUCACCAUUCAUAUGCAUCGAUGACAGAUGCUCAACUGAUUUUUUUUCUUUGGUACAUAUGAACAAACAUGUGCCUCUUAAUCUUAGGCAAAUUUGGUCGAUUAAACUGCCCUUUCCUUUCUUGAUUGUAUAUUACUGGGUAGGAAUCUUUUGUUUUUCUGACUGUUCCAACUAAUGUCAUAUCCCAACUGUUCAAUACUUUAUCCACCUCCAUUGUUGUAAAGAAAUUGUCGAUGGUGAUGUUUCUUCCGGAGCCUUUACACAUAUAUACUAGAUCUAAAACAGGUUUUUACGAAGAUUCACCUGUCUGGCCCAUCUACUGGUUUUCCAGUAUAGAGUUUACCAUGUAGAGGGUAAACGUUGGAUUCAUCACAAGCCCCAAAAAUCUUAAUGCCCUACCUAGAUGGUUUAGAUUGUAUAUAUUGAGUUAAUUUUGUAUACCCUCGAAAUGGAAAUAAUUAUUAAUCAAUGGUGAUACAUUCAUUUAGUUUGUAAUUUGUUCUGCAAAUUAUUAUUUUGAAUAAGCCAAAGAUGUCGUAUUGGUGCAGCUUUAUCCGUUUGAGCACGUUCUGCACGUGUGUUUUCGUAGUCAAAUCUAAUACAGCGGAGCAUCAUCUUGAAGCAGUUACGAGGUAUAGCUGCACGUAUAAAAGGUAGAGUAUCCCUUUUCCACAUAUCUUUAAGAUUUUCCAUAUUAUUUCGAUGUACACUAGCACCAAUAAGAAUUCUAAAAAAUAUAUGGAGCUCAACAUUAGUAAAGGGCUAGAUUGAUAUAUAAGUGUUGGCCGAUCAGAAAUAUUUGUAUAUCUUAGGAUGAGGCUAUUGUUAAAAGCUUCACCAACUCUCCUAACUUUUAGAUUUGUUUCUCUCAAUAUGAUGUUACACAUCUCUGGACUGAUGAUAUACAUGAAUAGCUCUUUUUCUGUAAAUAUGUUGGUGUUAACUGCAGGUCCACUUCUUUGUCGAAGAAUGUUACGCAAUCUUGUUUGCACCUUAGGGACUGGAUUUUUAUGACAUUCAGUUUCAUCCUUCGCGAUUCAAGUUGUACUUGAGAUACAACUCUGCAAGUACAACGCUUUCGUCCGAGUCAUAUUCUUGUUCAUGCUUAUCACAAUUUCUUCUUCAAUGUCGGAAGCUUCUUCAAUGACAACUUCAACUUCUGGUAUAUAGUUGUCAACGUCAGAUGCAACGUACAUGUCAUCCUCAUCUUCAGAAUCAAAUUUGUCCAUAAAAUGUUUCAUUUUAUCGGACACAUAUCUGAGAGUCGGCAAUGAAAAAUCAUAUGGAUAUGUGCAUUGUUUAAUAGAACAAAAAUAGAAACUGGACACAAAAUGAUACUUACCUCAAUCGUUGUGGUCUUUUGCUAUUAUGAAUAGAUUUUGAAUAACUGUCACUCAUUUUAGAUCUCCUUAUAUUCUACAGCACACUUUAUUUUUAAUUCAAAUUUAAAAAAGACAAUAUAAUGAAAUAAGAAACAAAUACAUUUGAAAAUUAAACAACCUUUGUGAACAAACAUCUUUCUUUGUUAAGGAGAUUAUAAAUGAUGAAUUUUUUUAUUUACAAGUUCAAUAAUUCAUAAUUAUCUCGGGCCAAUCACCGAGGUCAUUAACGCUUCAGAAGGGUAACUGCCUUUACUUGUAAGCUUUACUAUUGUUAAAGAUCUACGCCAAGCUAAUGUGUUUUAUUUUCAAUACCAAAUCAAAUACAAUUUGAAAUAAAAACCUAUGUUCAAUAUUAUCCGAAAAAUGGUGCUCGAAAAAUAAAUCCAAUAGGCAGGAAAAACUGUUUCAAAGGUUUCAAACAUCCGUUUAAUUAUGUCAAAACUGAAAAACUGGGCAUAUUUCAUGUUUCUAAAGAUUUACAUUUACUUUUAUGAAUAAAUGACCCAUUUAAUUUUGUAUAUGACUGAGAUUCAACCACGGUUUCACUGGGAAAAUUGUGAAAAUAUCAAGUAUUGAAUUCAUAUGAGUAAUAAAUAUUUUCUAAACCCAAAUGUAACUAUGUAAACUUCAAAUCUGAAGUCACUAAUACAAAAAUAAAUAAAUGGUUUUUUAGAUAAACUCAUUUUUGUAUAGGUAUGUCUAAUUUGAAGGAAAUAAAAAUAUCUCUUCAGCAUUUUCAAAUUCUAUAAAUGAAUCAAUUAGUCAAAUAUAUGUAGUUUGUAGUUGUUUUGUGACAAAUUGGACCUUGAGUUAGUCAAUAUCAAGUAGUGUCUUAUCAUAUGAUUACGCAAUAUCGUGCGUCUCGGAAUAUGGAUAUUUUGGUCAAAAAUCGAGUUUCUGUUACUUCGUCAAAUAAAAAAUAAAAAUUCCAUAAGUAUUUAGUAGUUUGACUCAAAUUGAGUAUUAUUUUCAUAAAGAAGUAUAUGUGGGUUAUAAUCUAUUAAGUUUUCACGAAUAUUGCUCAUUCCGUAUUUUGGUUGAGGCCCCAUGUAAUCAAAAUUUUGCACUAAAAGUUUAAAUGCAUAAAUCAUUAAAAAAAAUCCGAAACAUUAUAGCUGAUACGAUAAAAAUAAACACAUCAGCCUAAAAUAUACUAUUUCAGGUACAAACAAUCAAAUUUUCAAGUAUCUAGCUCCACUGGUUUUAUGUACCAUCCAUUUUAAUCACAUGUAUUUUUUCACAUGUCAAUAAAAUUAGGGAGUAGGCGUAGUAUUUUUUUUCUUCUAAUGUUCCUAUACUAGAAAUAGUAUAAAUUAGGUAUCAAUUAAAACUUAUUAAAUUUUCAAUAAAAUGAAAUAUAAAUCAAGCCUGUAGUCCUGUCACGCAAAAAACUUUCAUUUGGUCACAAAUUCAAAUUUCUUAUAUAAACAAUACAAAAUACAGUAUUGAAACUUACAAAAUCAUAAUCUAAAGACAUUUUUACCCUAAAAAAAGACUUAAUUAACGAUUCUCAAUGUUUAUUUUCUACCCUAAAUAUUUUUUCUUACUUUUGGUAGUGAAACCGGUGUCAAAUCUUCAACUAUGUUCUAUGUAUAAUUUUUUGUUGAAUCCAUAUAAUAUAAUGAAUAUUAAUAACUUUUUUAUCACCCCAUUUGUCAUUAUUUAUUUGUUUGAUCUUCUGUAUAUAAUCUAUAUUAUGAGUAUUUCUAAGUAAUAUUUUAAAUGAUAAUUUAAGGUGUUUUUUUUUUAAUUAUACAUAUUUAUUUAACUUGCUGUCCCAAAUAUAAUUUAUAAUACUUAUAGUUAUCGAUUUCAUUGUAAUAUACUGACCCGGGUAAGUGAUAAUGAUAAAAUUUUGGUGUAUCAUCAUAUUGUAUACCAUAUUUGCGAAUUUAAAUGAAGAAAUUUAUAAGAGAUCUUAAUGUAAAUUGAAAUAUGGAUGUUGCUUAAUGAGUUUCACGAAAUAAAUCAACUAAAUUACAAGAAUAUAGCAACCCAGUUUGUAUCGAGGGAUCUGAUAUUGUAUAUUUAAUAAUUAAUCAUAAAAAAAAUUAAGGAGACCUGAAAAGAAAAUAUCCAGGGUUGCGUUAUUAUAAGCUAGAAAUUUUUACGUAAUAUUAAAUAAUAUAAUUACAUUUAAGUAUAAUCUCUUUUAGAUCCAUGGACUUUUUAAUAUUUGCAAGUCUAUCAAUUGUUAAAUAGUUUAAUUGUUAUUAUUUCAUUUCACAUUCAUUAUACAGCAAAAUACUUGUUGGUUAUUUUAUUGAUGAUUUUUAUUUACCCGCCUCUGGCCUAAACAAUAGGCCUCACACCUUUUCAAAUUAGGCAUGUCCCUGACCAUGGAUUUCUUAACACACAUGUAGUUGAAAAAUUCAUGACCCGACAUACAGUAUAACCACACAUUUUUAUAACCUAGUGUAGGAAAAAUUAAGGGAUUUUUUUUCUUUUUGUAUUUUUCGUUUCCAGCUUGUAGGUUGCAAUAGGUGUGACUAAUUUAAUGCUUAAAGUGCAAUGUUAGAAAACACAUGAUACAUCUAGCGUACUUCAUUAAGCUAUCGCUCCCAGGUAUAUUUAUUAUUAUACUGUGUAUAUAUGAUGAAAUAAGAUUGCGUGGAAAAUAUCGAAUAAUAUUUAUUAAAUUAUAAAAAGAUACGAGUAUAUUAUGUACAAUUAAUUAAUUUUUAUUGCUCUAUUAAGUAAGAUUGAAUUGUUUUAUUGUUAGUGCAAACACAUAAUCACAGGAUUUUCGUUCAUGAAACAUUAAAAAAAUAUAUUUAGUAUAAAUUUAUCUCUCAAUAAAUUUUCUGUGUCAUGUAAAAUGGAAAUUCCCCAGGUAAUAAUUUUAUAUAAAAGAUAUCAGCAUAGCAUGACGAACUUUCAAAAGUGUUCAUAUAGAUAAUACCAUGGUUAAAACAUAUAUAUUUUUUUUGCAUUCUUAUUUGGGCCAUCCUUUGCCUUGUCAACAGCUCUAAAGUCGAGAUUAAAAGACAACAAUGCUCAUUUAACCUUCAAAUCUAGUGCAACGACUGGAAUCAUAACGAAAGAAACUAAUAGCAAAAGGCUAAAAUGCGAAAAAUUUAAAUACAUUAGACUUAUUAGAAAACAUAUUUGCGUGAAUUAUAGCUCUAAUUAAGAAAAGCACAAGACCGAUACCAAUGCUAGACUGAAUCCACUGCAUCGUUUGUUGGUUUCUUUUUCUUUUUUACAUGUUUGUUUAUUGUGAUAAAUGAAUGAUAAGUUGAAUUUAUGUAUUCCAAUAAAUACAUUUAUGUACUGUAAUUAUAUACCAAAUAAUAAUAUAAAAUGAUUUUUCGUAUUUGA
rnacentral:lncRNA from 1 species